UUAGUGCUGCCUGUCACGUCCACGGCAAUCAGAACAAAGGGUCAGAGUUCAGAAACCUCUUUGAGGGACGUUCUCCCGAGUGAGCCCGUGUUGGCCCCAUCCUCAGUCUUCAGGUGCAAGGCAGGUUACAGAGCUGCUCUUGGGGACUUAGGUCCUGUAGGAGACAGGAAGCCCCUGCCUCAAAAUGCUCUCCAUACAGCACCUUGACAUACACAGCAAGAUCCCCAAACCUGGCUAAGGGGAACCAGGAUUUUUAUUUUUAUCUUUAUUUUUCUGUGCUGAAGAUUAAACGCCAGGCCUCGCACGUUGAGCAACAUUCUAAGCCUAAAAAUAGCUCAAGGGCUUUACAGUUCUGUCUGUGGGGAAAUAUUGCUUCAUCAGGUAAUGGUGGCACAUGCCUUUACUCCUAGCGCUUGGGAGGCAGAGGCAAAAGAAGGUUGAUAGUUCAAGGCCAGCCUCAGCCAUAGUUGUAAGACUGUCUCAAAAACAAAACAAUACAUACAUCCUGUUGCUUCCAAGUAGGAAAGCAGGUGUGAAUGUAUGCCCACCCUGUCUUAGCAUCUGCCUGCCUGCCUCUUUCCUUCCUUCCUUUUCUUCCUUCCUUCCUUCCUUCCUUCCUUCCUUCCUUCCUUCCUUCCUUCCUUCCUUCCUUUCUUUCUUUCUUUCUUUCUUUCUUUCUUUCUUUCUUUCUUUCUUUCUUUCUUUCUUCUUUCUUUCUUUCAAGUGGACCCAGGUUAAAAUCAAAGAGGAAGGAGCCUUAGUUGAGGAAAUGCCUCCAUGAGAUCCAUCUGUAAGGCAUUUUUCAAUUAGUGAUUGAUGGGGGAGGCCCUAGCGAUUUGUAGGUGGUGCCGUCCCUGGGCAGGUGGUCCUGGGUUCUAGAACAAAGCCAGCUGAGCAAGACAGGAAGCAGCACCCUCCACAGCCUCUGUAUCAGCUCCAACUUGCUUCUUUCUUUCCUUCUUUCUUUCUUUCUUUCUUUCUUUCUUUCUUUCUUUCUUUCUUUCUUUCUUUCCUUCCUUCCUUCCUUCCUUCCUUCCUUCCUUCCUUCCUUCCUUCCUUUCUUUCUUCUUCUUCUUUUUUUUUUGGAGGGGAGGGGCUUCUCUGUGUAGCCCUCAAUGUCCUGGAACUCUCUUUGUAGACCAGGCUGGCCUCUCAAAACUCACAGAGAUCUGCCUGCCUCUGCCUCCUGAUUACUGGGAUUAAAGGCGUGUGCCACCACGCCCGGCUUCCCAGCUUGCUUUUUUGAUCAUGAUAUUUUGUCACAGCAAUAGAAACUCUAACUAAGACACAGGGUUUCUCUGUGCAGCCCUGGCUGUCCUGGAAUUCACUUGUGGACCAGGCUGGCCUCGAACUGAGAGAUCCACCUGUCUCUGCCUACCCAUGUGCUGGGAUUAAAGACAUGUUCCACCGAUGCCCGGUUUGUCCUCAAGUUUCUCACUUGCUGUUCCCACUACCUGCAGUUUCUCUCACAGAUAGGCGUUCAUAUCAGCCAGACUUGUGCUUCCAAACCACUGACUGAGGCAGAGAGAUGCUUGCCUCAAACGCACAGGAACCUGAGUUUGAUCACCAGCCCUCUGUGAGAGUAGGGCGUGGUGCUCAUUCCCAGCGCUCUGCAAUGAAGAAGACAGCCCGCUGGCCAGUCAGUGUAGCUGAACUGGCAAGCUCCAAGUUCAGAGAGAGACACUACCUCACAAAAUAAUAUAGUGACGCUGGGUGUGGUGACACAUACCUUUAGUUCCAGCAUUUGGGAGGCAGAGGCAGGUGGAUCUCCGUGAGUUCAAGGUGAGCCUAAUCUAGGGAGCUCCAGGACAGCCAAGUCAGGGCUACACAGAGAAAACCUGCCCCCUCCCAGCCAUAACCCACCACACACAAAAAUGUAAACACAUAUGUAUGCAUACACACCCAUACAUAUUAUAGAGGGUAAUGGACGGAGACACCAGAUCUUUGGCUUCCAGAUGCACACAUGUAUACCACCCCACAUGCACACACACAUGAACAUAUAUGUACACACAUAAGUUAGGGAGAUCUUCCCUAUGUCCCUUCUAAAAUACCCUUGUCUCUGUCUACAGCUUUUGCUGACCCACUGUGAUGGCUGCUCUCGGUUGUCAACUUGACUAUACCUGGAAUUAUUUAAACUCUCAAAAGUGGGCUUUUUGCUUAGUUUGAAGUGGGUAGAUCUGAUCCCCACAUGCCCGUGUCUAGACUCUGGGUCUUGAGACAGGAAGGAACCGCACUCUCUGUCUCUUUGCUCUCUCCUUGCUGCUAAGCCCAUUCCCUCACUGGCAUUACAGCCUCCUUCUUUGGGAUUCCAGUGUAAACUGAAGACCAGCUGGGACAUGCAGCCUCGUGGACAGAGCAACUUCUGGAUUCUUGGACUUUGCAUUCACAUCCAGCCAUUGUUGGAUUAGCUGGACUGUGGCCAGUGAGUAAUUCUAACAAAUCCUCUUCUAUAUGUAUAGAGAGAUGCUAACUUACAGAGUUCUGCUAUUCUAGAGAACCCUGACUAACACACCUCCCCUUUAAAUUAUUCUACAUUUAUGUGUGCGCGUGUGGGCGUCUGUGCUCCCUCGUGUCACUUGUGUCACAUGCCAUAGUGAGCGUGGAGGUUGGAGGACAACUCGUGAGAGUCGGUUCUCUUCCAGCAUGUGGGUCCUGAGAGUCCAACCUAGGCUCUCAGGUCUGACAAUGGCACCUUUACCUGCUGAACGUCUCACUGGCCCCAGUUUCUCUGUGAAGCUCUAAUGUGUACACUGGCUGGGCUAGAACUCCCCAUGUAGCCCAGGCAGGCCUCAAACUCAUAGGCAUCUGCCUGCCUCCUCCUCCUGAGUGCAGGGAUUAGAGGCCAUGUCUUUCUAACAUAGCCCUUUCAGCGUCCAGCGCCUUGAUGUCUCUUUGCGACGACUCCGCGGGUCUCUGCUCAGACUGGGUGACUGCUCUAUGUCCAGGGGUCACUUUGUGUCCCCAGUACCCCUAGUUAUUGUUUUUGGUUUAGGAUUUGAUUUGUGACCCAAGGGAGGCAUCUCCAGACUGGGGAUGCAGUUGUAGGUGUGCAAUACUCUCUCUGUGCUAUCCUGAGAGA
rnacentral:lncRNA from 1 species